rnacentral:rRNA from 1 species
UACGGAGGGUGCAAGCGUUAUCCGGAUUCACUGGGUUUAAAGGGUGCGUAGGUGGGUUGGUAAGUCAGUGGUGAAAUCCCCGAGCUUAACUUGGGAACUGCCAUUGAUACUAUCAAUCUUGAAUACUGUGGAGGUCAGCGGAAUAUGUCAUGUAGCGGUGAAAUGCUUAGAUAUGACAUAGAACACCCAUUGCGAAGGCAGCUCACUACGGGAUUAUUGACACUGAGGCACGAAAGCGUGGGGAUCAAACAGG